rnacentral:misc_RNA from 1 species
AAGUCGUAACAAGGUUUCCGUAGGUGAACCUGCGGAAGGAUCAUUAACACGUAUCCAACGUAAAAAACCCCCCUGUGAACAUUCAAACCUGCUCUCGUAGCCCAGUGCGAUCCAGCAAUCCCGGUAAAUCAUUGUCGAACAGUAUUGAUUCGGGACUUCUGACAAAUGAGAAGUUACAGUUACGAUUGAGCGGAGAUAGCUGCAUGGCAUCCCGUCUCGCCUCAACGAUUGCCAGAGGUCGCUCACCGACCGGCAGACAUGCAACCGGGUCCCCACGCCCCUUUACAACCCCAUUACCUCUGUGAGUCGCGGGAAACUAGCGGCUAAAAAACCUCGAACAACUGUUAACAAUGGAUAUCUUGGUUCUC